rnacentral:rRNA from 1 species
UGGUAUUAAUGCAAUAUUAGGAGACACCUGUUACCAUUCCGAACACAGAAGUUAAGUUAAUAUUGGUUGAUGAUACUGGUUCUACUGGAGCUGGGAAAGUAAAUUGGUGCCACCAAU